rnacentral:lncRNA from 1 species
UUUUUUUUUUUUUUUUCAUUUAUUUUGAAAGGUGCAUUCACCAUGGUUACCAUUGUUUUCAAUGUCACAGUUCUCCAUAUCUCAAAGGCACGGAAAACAUUCUGUACUUUCAAAUCAGGGAGCAGACAAAUACAUUUUUUUAUUGUAACUUAUUUUUCACUAGAACCUUUAUGUUCAAAUCUACAACAUGAUUAGUCACCUGUACAGACUGAAAUCUGGAUAGCUGGAGAUGUUUUUAUUCAGUUGCUUUUAAACAAACAGCAACCAAACAUCAUUUAAAAUACGUGGAUUAAAAUGUCAUACCUCCACAUCAGUAGAUUUAAACUUGCUAAAGCAAGUUCUCUCGGCAUCUCCGUAAAAUAAUGUGUUCUUUAUAAAAAAACAAAAACAAAAAGCUUUAAAUCACAGUCUAAAUACUGUCAUAUACACUGCCUCACACUUAAUUGCAGUGAAACCUGUCAUAAUCCACCCAGCAGAGAAUGUACAGGUUGUUUUCAGGUAAAUAUAGAAUUCAAUAUUCAUGUAAUAUUAACUUUGUGAUAAAAGAUUAUUUCUAAAUAAUUCUUUUUUGUUUGUUUGUUUUUGUUUGUUUGUUUGGCUUUUUACAGCAGCCCCUGAGGCAUAUGGAGCGGCCCUAGAAAAGGCAAAAAAAAACAGAAAAAAAAAAAAAUGCAUGGCUAAAGCAUAUGUUCUGCAAAGAAAAUGUAUGAAAGCCAAUAAGUAAAUCUUAGAGCAAUGAACACAAACACCAACCACAGUCUUGGCAUGGUUUUCACUCAGACACCUGACUCCUUUGAAACACUGCAUACACCGUGGAGGGGAUCACAAAUUAGUCAGGUCAUAAAGUUGUGCACCUGGAAAUAUUUACUAUACUAAUAAGUUACCCAGAAGGUAGGAAAAUCAUGGUGUCUUACAAAUGGAGUGAUGGAGUUGAUUAUUUUAAUAAAAAGUCAAACCACUGAUGAAAUAAUGAAAACUUCCUUACACAGUUGAAGGAACUCUUGAACCAAAGUCACAGCAUCUUCAGGGCUUUAUCUUCGUUGCAAAAUGGAACUCUCCACAUUAUUACAGGCUGCUGUACACGCAGAAUAUUGCCAAAGGUUUAUUUUAGCCAUUCCUCCAACUCUGAUUAGUUACACCAAAGCUAUAAAAAUUAAACAGAAGUGAUUCAGCUUCAGCAGCCCCAGCCGGUUAUGACAGGCCAUCAUGGGAGGACCUGGAGACCUACAAAAGGAACCUGGCCCCUUAACGAGGUUUGCAUAAGUGGGUCAGCAGGCACCUGUGACAGGGUUCGGCCUCUUGAAGAAACAUAUAUUCCCUGCAGCAGCCUGGACCAAUUUUCGACAGCUGGGAAUUGAACCUUUAGGCUUUUAAAAGUCAUUGGUCAGAGUUCCCGUUGUGGUUCAGUGGUUAAUGAACCUGACUAGUUAGUAUCCAUGAGGACACAGGCUAGAUCCCUGGCCUCGCUCAGUGGGAUAAAGAUCCAGCGUUGCCGUGAGCUGUGGUAUAGGUCGCAGAUGGGGCUCGGAACCCGCAUUGCUGUGGCUGUGGUGUAGGCCGGUGGCUACAGCUCUGAUUCAACCCCUAGCCUGGGAACUUCCAUAUGCCAAAGGAGCAGCCCUAAAAAGACAAACCACACACAUCAAAAAAAUAAAUACAUAAAAGUCACUGGUUUUUUUUUUUUUCUAGAAGAAAACAUAAAUAUUUUCGCCACGUUUUAGGUUGUACACGGAGAAAGUGUGUGUGUGUAUAAUAUUAAUAUUUCUUUUCUCUUGAAAGAGAUAAAGUAACUUUAAGGUUAUGCUUACUAAACAUUUAAUGUUGAAAGAUUCAAUGAAAAGGUCAUUCUCAAAUGUGUAGUUCAUUUCUUGAGCCCAGCAACUGCAGGGGGAAAAAAUAAUUACUAGCAGAAAUACCUAAGCUAAUUUACCGUGUUUUAGGAAAGUUUAAAAAUUUUGGAAUAGCCAUCAACUUGACAUCUCUGAUAACUUUAAAGAUCUUUAAGUAUGUGUGCUUAAAUAUGAGAAACACAAUUGAAAAGCCACGUCAUCUUUCUACAGUCCUUGUACUAUAUGUAUACGUGUAGUGCUGAACCACCAAAAGAAACAGAGAUGAGCCUUUAGAAAGAACUCAUGACUUUUUCUUCUUGACAGAAAUCUUGUUUUGAAAAUAUUCAGCUCCGAUUCGACCCCUAGCCUGGGAACCUCCAUAUGCCGCGGGAGCGGCCCAAGAAAUAGCAAAAAAAAAAAAAAAAAGAAAAUAUUCAGCAAGGAAAUGCAAGGUUCCUAUCAAAACAGUGGCAAAGCAGUUUAAUGUUCUUAGAUUUGCAGUCCAGCCCUCUUUGUGGGAGCAGAAAGCUCACAUGCCCUACCUAGACAGCCUGUCUUCUGCUCCUGUUCAAGUGUACAAAGUCUUCUGCUUAAAGGACCAAUCAGUCUACAUCCAAGGCAAGCAAGAGGGCUCACCGUUUCAAUUAGCACAGGCACAGAAUUUUGGUUUUGGUUUAGUUUUUUUUUUUUUUUUUUUUUGCUUUUCCAAGACACAUCGAUCAUGUGGCAUAAAAAAGCAAACAUAACAGAGCUAGUUGUCUAUUAACUUGUUUUAAUUGAUGUGGGGAAAGUGCCUAAAUAAGUUUUCAUUAAAUUUGUCCAAAGACAAACAUUAAAGUUAUCUUGCUAAUCAAUGGUGGGUAACUUUAGUUCUAAGCAGUCUCCGCGAAUAAAAACAAUAGUUCCAACAGCUCUUCCUACCCUGUAC